UACGUAGGCAGCGAGCGUUGUUCGGAGUUACUGGGCGUAAAGCGUGCGUAGGCGGUUUUCUAAGUCUGGUGUGAAAUCUCCCGGCUUAACUGGGAGGGUGCGCCGGAUACUGGAAGGCUUGGAGUGCGGGAGAGGUAAGCGGAAUUCCUGGUGUAGCGGUGAAAUGCGUAGAUAUCAGGAGGAACACCGGCGGUGUAGACGGCUUACUGGACCGUGACUGACGCUGAGGCACGAAAGCGUGGGGAGCAAACAGG
rnacentral:misc_RNA from 1 species